GAGACUCUGCCUUGUCCGUGGCUCCGGCUUCAACGGUCGAACCAACAUUUCGCUCCAGGGAGUCCUAUAUCAGCCCGGUCGAACGGUAUCCUUCAUCGUUGAGGAAGCGCGAAGCCGGGGUGCGGACACCCACCUGCUGAGGCAGGUUCACCAGCCGGGGCCACGGACAAAGCAGAGUCGGC
rnacentral:other from 1 species